UACGUAGGGUGCAAGCGUUGUCCGGAAUUAUUGGGCGUAAAGAGCUCGUAGGCGGUUUUGUUGCGUCGGCUGUGAAAUCCCCGAGGCUCAACCUCGGGUCUGCAGUCGAUACGAGCAAACUAGAGUGUUGCAGGGGAGACUGGAAUUCCUGGUGUAGCGGUGAAAUGCGCAGAUAUCAGGAGGAACACCGGUGGCGAAGGCGGGGUCUCUGGACAGUUCCUGACACUGAGGCACGAAGGCCAGGGGAGCAAACGGG
rnacentral:rRNA from 1 species